UUCCGGUUGAUCCUGCCGGAGGUUACUGCUAUCGGUGUUCGCCUAAGCCAUGCGAGUCAUAUGUAGCAAUACAUGGCGUACUGCUCAGUAACACGUGGAUAACCUGCCCUUGGGUCCGGCAUAACCCCGGGAAACUGGGGAUAAUUCCGGAUAACGCACAUAUGCUGGAAUGCUUUAUGCGUCAAAUGGAUUCGUCUGCCCAAGGAUGGGUCUGCGGCCUAUCAGGUAGUAGUGGGUGUAAUGUACCUACUAGCCGACAACGGGUACGGGUUGUGAGAGCAAGAGCCCGGAGAUGGAUUCUGAGACAUGAAUCCAGGCCCUACGGGGCGCAGCAGGCGCGAAAACUUUACAAUGCGGGAAACCGUGAUAAGGGGACACCGAGUGUCAGCAUCAUAUGCUGGCUGUCCAGGUGUGUAAAAUACACCUGUUAGCAAGGGCCGGGCAAGACCGGUGCCAGCCGCCGCGGUAACACCGGCGGCCCGAGUGGUGAUCGUGAUUAUUGGGUCUAAAGGGUCCGUAGCCGGUUUGGUCAGUCCUCCGGGAAAUCUGAUAGCUCAACUAUUAGGCUAUCGGGGGAUACUGCCAGGCUUGGAACCGGGAGAGGUAAGAGGUACUACAGGGGUAGGAGUGAAAUCUUGUAAUCCCUGUGGGACCACCUGUGGCGAAGCGUCUUACCAGACGGGUUCGACGGUGAGGGACGAAAGCUGGGGGCACGAACCGGAUUASAUACCCGGGGUAGUCCCA
rnacentral:rRNA from 1 species